UGUGUGUAUAAAUAUAUACACGCGUAUAUAAAGCCAGUUACACAAGCAGGGUAUUCUUGAGUGUUGGAAGUGCGUAUUGACAGCCCGCGUCAUUAUGUGAUGUAGCGCGUUGGUUCGUCUGUGCCUUGUAACCUAUGGGCAGCUUUUGACCAUUUAACUCGUUACCCAAAACUGCUCAUACAACCCAGGUAUUGUUAGCCUCUGCCCUACAGCUGCUACACUUUCUGGCUGCUGUCAUGUCGCUGAGCAUUCUGGGUGUUGUAGUCCACAGCAGAUGGAGCCCCCAGACACUGUCUGUCUCUGGCCUGACGCUCCUCCAAAAAAAUGAAUAUCUGCGCUACGACGACGGCCUGCCGUAGGGGAACGAACAUCAAUGUGCUUCUCCGUUCCGAUUUUUUAGCUUCGUGAACACAAGCCAGAUUAAUGCACGAUUCGCUUAACGCGGUUUUUAAAGUCUUUUAAAGCUAAUUAACCACCACUGCAUUUUACCGAAGGCAUGGCUUCCAGCUGCAGCGUGUUUCAUUGUGUUUCCUCCGAACACUAGAAAAUGCAUACGUCUAAAAAUGAAAAAAGAAGAAAAAAAGAUUCAUGCUGUGAAACGGCACUGUUUAUUUUGUAUACUUUAAAUAUGUAUCUAUGACAAUUGUAGCAAUACUAUGAAGUUGUAGCAUAGGCUUUAUUUGUGUACACAGCCUCGUUUCUCUUGUGAAGUGCAUCAGGGCAAGGCUUCGUAGGCUAAGCAAUGCGCAGCAGGGAACCAAUCACGUAUAGAUCGCGUUAGCAGAAACCAAUCAGC